CCGAGGGGCGCGUGGGGCGGCCGGAUCCAUGGCGAUCCGGGCCGGAUCCCGCCGAGGCUGGAGGCGGAGGCGCGCGGGGCGGCGAAGUGCGGCGGAAGGAACCGCUCGGCCGGGGCGUUGACCCCUUCGCCGGAGCGCCGCCGCCUGUCAGAAUCCGAGGUUGUUCCCUACGCCGGCCUUCUCCCUCCUCCUUCAACCUCCCCGCAUCAUCCAUGUCUCCGCAGUCUAGAUUUCGUCCGUCUAAUAAAUCCCAUGCUAGGCUGAUAGAUUUCGUCAGCAGUCUAGGCUGGUCCUUUAGAGUUCCAGUUUCCAACUUGGCAGGUUCAUCUGUUGAGGACCAACUCAAAGGUGGAUUAUUUGUUCAUACAUAUUGAACCCUGCCCCAACAACCGCCGACGGCGGACUACAUACAUCUUGUGCAGGUUUGGUAUAUGGUGGUGUUUCACUGUCAGCCUUCAUUUUUCAAAGAACAAACAAUCCGUGUCCGGCAGUGGAUCUAGAGGUUGGCAUUCAAACUUGCAAAGCUUGGCUGUUCCAUCCAAACAACGGCUGCGACGAACAGAAGCAUCUGUGAGCGGUUCUGCGUAAUCGGCCAUUUCAAAGUGUCUAAGGCGGUCGGUUGAACGCAGGUGGAGGCCAAGGAGGUUCUCCUCUCGGACAUGCAAACAAUAAUUACUGAUGACACCAACGUGCAGACUAUAAGUCCCCCUCAAUCCCGAUAUAGUUGUGUCACACACUCUGCAUUUACAUUAUUAGUAUGUAAUAGAUUCUGAAAGUUGAUUCAAGUUUGUAGUGCUUCAAAUCUGAAAGUUGAUAGAGUAAUUUGUCAAUUGAUUUGUACUGUAGUGCUUCAAGACUGAUUGCUCCGUGUUUGAUUCAUGUCUCAAAGUUGAUACAAUCAUUUUGUCAACUAAUUCCUGUUGUAGUGCUUGAA